UCAAAAUUACAAAGCUGCACUACUCUUGAGGUUGGAACUUUCAUGUUUCCUGAAAGUGAUAUGACAGCCCCGUUGAAAAAAACAGCAUAUGCUGGUUAGGUAUGUUUUGAAGCAUGGUAGCUGGUUUAAGCUGAGAACCAGCCGGUUGCAUAAAGCACCUUAAGUGUAAUUUUGCCUUAAGUGUGUCCUUAAGUAUACCUUAAGUUUUACUAAAGUUAUUCUCCUAUUGUCUUCGGUAAAGGGAAAUCACCUCUAAAGUGUCAUACUUAAGGGAAAAAAUUAAGCUGCUUUAUGCAACCGGGCCCCGCACAUGACCAGCUCAAACCAGCUACCAUGCUUCAAAACAUACCUAACUACAGUAGCAUAAGGCUGUUUUUUUCAACAGGGAGAGAAAGCACAUGGCAGUAAACAUGACAAAAGUUGCAAUAGUCUAGCCAACAAAAACAUGAUUAAUGAUAAUCAUUAAUAAAUUCAUUUUUUCUCAUAUCAUGAAUGGCUAUGGCCUAACCACUACAGUCCAUACAUUAAACCUGGUUAGCUCAGAGAGAAAAACCUUAAAGACAGGAGAAUGGACUGAUUUAAAACUGCAGUUAAAGAAACAUAUGAAAACAAACGUAAUCAGAAUAGAACUUUGGAGAAUGUGGCCAGAGGCUUAACAGAUUUGUUCAAAUUCAAGAGGAUCAUUCUAGGACAAUACAUCGAGCUGUAAGUUACCAUAAUGUUAAUACAUUUAGUAAUGAUCUUUUCAUAUAGGCCUGCAGUAUGUCAUAAGCAUCUUGUUUGCUCUUUUGUUAUUUUGUAAAAGUAGUGGCUGCAUUUUUGUUGAUUGUCGUCAGCCCUAAUUUUGUUUCAUGUAAUGGCACUGAAACAUUUUAUAUUUGUGUGCCUGUUUUUUAGAAACCACUUCCAAGCACCAAACGUGUGUAUUCAUUAAACUUGUACCAUACAUUAGUUAAUUUUAUUCAUAUACUGCAAUGAAAACAUCUGACCAAUUAAAUAUAUAGCAACAUUCAAAUAAAACUAAACACGUUUAUUUUCUUUUAAAAACAACCUAUCUUAACUAUAGCUGUUGUUACUACACUUGCUAUUGGUAAACAGAUGUCAUUGGUUGACUCCCCGUGCUGCUUUGAGCACGAUUGGGUAAACUUACUGUCAUUCAGGAAACUAGCCAAUUAGAGCUGUUCGCGCCCUUCACUGGUUCAUUUUGAACAUACGCGAGGAAUUGAUGUCUGUCAGUUAGUUUCAGUAGUAUUGAUGGUCCAGUUAUAUGUAAACAGCGCUGGAGACACGAAGUCGUGUGGAAGUUGCAGGCUGCUGGAGAAUAAUCACACGCAUUAACAGCUUUACCAGCGACCAGCAGAAGUACACAGAAAUAUAUGAUAAGAUUUGCCUGGGCAGUAUACACACCUGAUGAAGGUAAGAAAAGCUACCCAGGCCCCCAAACUACAUCAGUAGUAAGUGUUUAAACAUUCGACCUGAGUAUUUGUAUUAUGUUGCUAUUAACAAAUGUGUAAUAUUAUGUACAGUUGUGCUCAAACGUUUACACACCCCUUGAAGAAUCUGGAAAAAGCUGAAACUUUUGGAAAAUAAGAGGAAUUUUUAAAAUUAAGGUUUAUUUUUAAUUUAGUCCUGCCCUGAGCAAGUUAUUUCACUAAAGAAAUGUUAACAUAUCGUUCACACACUAAAGAAUAAUAACAGAAUUUCUAAAAAUAGCCCAGGGCAAAAGUUCACAUGCCCCUGAUUCUUAAUACUGUAUGAUGGUACCUAAACAAUCAAUGACAGUUUUUAUGUUUAGUCAUAGUUGUUUAAAGGUUUCUG